AAAGGGAUGGAGAAAAUUCUACCAAGCAAACAGAAAAAAGGAGGAGGGACAGAUUGCUAUUCUAACUUCAUAGAAAAUAGACUUUAAAACAGCAAUUGUCAAUAAGGACAGAGAAAGAUAUAAUCAUGAAGAGUUCAACUCAACAAGAGCUAACUAUAUAUGCACUGAACACAGGAUCAUGCGCGUUCAUAAAAGAAGUUCCUACAGACCUAUGAAGAGACUUAGAUAAGCAGACAAUAAGAGUGGGAAACUUCACUACCCCAUUGACACUAUUAGAUCACUGAGGCUGAAAGCUAAGAGAUAUUUUAGUCCUGUACUUGACACUUGACCAAAUGGACCUAUCAGACAUCCAUAUUAAUGUCCACCCAAAACCACCAAGUACACAUUCUUCUCAUCUGCACAUGGCACAUACUCUAUAGUUGACUACACAGUGGGCCAUAAAACAAUCCUCACCAAAUUCAAAUAACAGCAAAAUCAUACUAAACAGAUCUUUGGACCAGAGCACAAUAAAAAUAGAAAUCAACACGAAGAUUACUCAACACUAUACAAUUACAUGGAAAUUAAGCAACUUGAUCCUUAAUUAUGUUGGCAUAAAUAAUGAAGUUAAAGCAGAAAUGGACAAGUUCAAUAUCUCAAUUUAACAAGCUAAUAUAACAAACAGAGGAAUUAGAAAACGAGUACACUAAUUCCAAAGCUAGCAGCAGACAAGAAAUAACUAACCAGUUUUGAAAUUGAAUCAGUAAUAAAAACCCUACCAACCCUACCUGGACCUGAUGGAUUUAUGGCUGAAUACAACCAGAUAUGUAAGAAAGAGCUGGUGAAAUUCCUAGUUAAGCUAUUCCAAAAUAUCAAGGAGGAAGGACUCCUCCCUUAAUCAUUUUAUGAAGCCAGCAUGAUCCUGAUACCAAAACUUGGCAGAGACACAACACAAACUUGAGACAAAUAUCCUUGAUGAACUUAAAAGGAAAAAUUCUCAAGAAAAUACCAGCAAACCUAAUCCACUUGCAUAUCAGAAAGCAAAUUCCCCAUGAUUAAGGAGGCUAUAUUUGUGUGAUGCAAGGUUGGUACAACAUACAGAACUUACGAAAAAAAUGUGAUUUAUCACAUAAGCAGAGCUAAAACCAUGUUCAUCUCUAUAGAUGCAGAAACUAUUUAUUUAACAUUACUUCAUGUUAUGAACCCUCAACAAAUUAGGCAUUGAAGAAACAUAUCUCAAAAUAAUGACCCAUCUGUUACAAACUCACAGCCAACCUCAUAAUCAACUGGCAAAAGUUGGAAGCAUUCCUUUUAUGACCAGAGCAAGUCAAGGAUGCUCAGUGUCACCACACCUAUUCAACAUACUACUGGAAGUUCUAGCUAGAGCAAUCAGUUAAUAGAAAAGGCAUCCAAAUAGGAAAAGAAGUAAAACUAUCUCUGCAGACAACAUGAUUUUAUACAUAGAAAACCUCAAAGCCCCAAAGCUCCUAGAUUAGAUACAAAACUUCAACAAAGUUUCAGUAUAAAAAGUCAGUCUGUAACUUAGCAUUUCUAUACAGCACCAACAUCAAAGCUCAGAAUUGAAUCAGGAAGGCAAACCCAUUCACAAUAGCCACAAAAAGCAUAAAUCACCCAGGAACACAUUUAACCAGGAAGGUGAAAGAUCACUAUAAGGAGAAUUACAAAACACUACUGAAGGAAAUCAUAGAUGACACAAAUAGGAAGAAAUGACAUUGUUAAAAUGGCCAUAAUCCCCAAAGCAAUUUAUACAUUAAUUGCUAUUCAAACUACCAAUGACAUUCUUUGCAGAAUUAAUACAACCUUUAAAAAUUCAUAUGGAGUGAAAAAGUCCUAAUAGCCAAGGCAAUUCUAGACAAAAAACAAACUUGGAAGCAUAACAUUACCUGAAUUUGAAAGUAUUCUACAAGAUUACAGUAACCAUAACAGCAUGGUACCGGUAUAAAAGUAGACAUGGAGGCCAAUGGAGCAGAAUAUAGAACACAAAGCUGUACACCAACAGUCAUCUGCUUCUCAACAAAGUUGACAAAACAAGCAAUGAAGACAGGACUUCCUGUUCAAUAAAUGGUGCUGGCAUAACUGACUACGUAUAUAUUCAAGGUUGACACUGGACCGCUUCCUUACAUUACAUAUAAUGACUCAAUAUAGAUUAAGGGCUUAAAUGUAAAAUAUAAUACCAUAAAAAUGCUAAAAUAUAACUUAGGAAAUACCAUGCUGAACAUAGGUUCUGAAAAAUAUUUAUGAUGAAGACUCCAAAUGCAAUUACAGCAAAAACAAAAAUUGACAAAUAGAACCUAGUUAAACUAUAGAGAUUCUGCACAGCAAGAGAAUCUAUCAAUGGUGAACACAAUGUACAGAAUGGGAGAAAUAUCUGCAAAUUAUGCAUCUGACAAAGUUCUAAUAUCCAGAAUUUAUAAGCUACUUAAAUUCAUGGGGAGAAAACCACAUUGAAAAUAUGAAAAAGUACAUAGACAUUUUUUCAAAGGAAGACAUGCAUACAGCUAGGAGUCAUAUGACAAAAUGCUGAACAUCACUAAUCUAUAGAGAAAUGCUAAUUAAAACCACAAUGCAAUUCUGUCUUACACCAACCAGAAUGGCUGUUACUAAAAAGUCAAAAAUAGUACGUUGUCGAAUCUACAGAUAAAAGGGAAUGCUUAUGGAUUGCUCGUUGAAUUGUAAAUUAUUUCAUCCAUUGUGGAUAGCAGCUUGGUGAUUUUGCCAAUAACAAGAACAUCAAACAGAAAUACCAUUUGAUGCAGGAAUCCCAUUAUUGGUUUUAUACCAAAAGGAGUAUAGAUUUUAGGACCAUAAAGACACAUGAAUGUGCAUGUCAAUUGGAGCACUCUUCAUAAUAGUGAAGAUAUGAAGUGAAGCUUAACACCCACUGAUGGCUGACCAUAUGAAGAAAACAUACAUGUACACCAUGGUACACUACAACAUCAUAAAAAAGAAUGAAAUUAUGUCCUUUGCACCAACAUGGUUGAACUAUUUUGAAAAUACGUGGCAGCAAUGUCAAAUCAUCAGAAGAAAAGGAACCAUAUGAUUUUGUAAAUGGGCAAAUAGAGUAACCAUUUCUCCAAAGAAUACACAAACAUGACCAAGAAGUAACUGAAAAAAAACCACAAGUCAAAACCACAAUGUGAGAUUCUCUCACUGCAGUUCAAAUAGCUGUUAUCAAAAGGACAAAUAAUGCUGUCAAGCAAGAAGGCAAAAGGGAUCUCUGAUAACACUGUUGGGGGAGUCUUGCUCUGUAUUCCAGGCUGGAGUGCAGUGGCAUGAUCUCGGUUCACUGCAACUUUUGCCUUCCAGAUUCAAGCAAUUUUCCUGCCCCAGCCUCCCAAGUAGCUGGGAUUAUAGGCAUAUGCCACCACACCUAGCUAAUUUUUGUAUUUUUAGUAGAGGCAGAGUUUCACCAUGUUGGCCAGGCUGGUCUCCAACUCCUGACCUCAGGUGAUCCACCCGCCUUGGCCUCCCAAAGUGCCGGGAUUACAGGUGUGAGCCACCACGCCCAGCCAAUAUUCACGGUUUUCUAAAACAAUUAGUUGAUAAAACUACCAUACUAUUCAGCAUUUCUUCCAUGGGCUACAUCCAAAAGAAGGGAUGUAAAUAUAUUGAAGAGAUAGCUGCACUGAUAUGUUUAUGGCAGUAUUUACAAUCACUAGGAUAUAGAAUCACCCUGUGUGUCCAUCAGUUGAUGAAUGGAUAAAGAAAGUGUGGUAUGUAUACACAAUAGAAUGAAUAUUCAGUCAUACUUAAGAAUGACAUCCUGUCACUUGCAACUACAUGUAUGGAACAGUAGGACAUAAUAAGUAAAAUAAGCCAGGCAUGGAAAGACUGUGUAUUCUCACUCAUUUGUGGUAGGUACAAAGAACCUAUGGAUUUAGAGGGUGGAAUGACGGUUAUCAGUAAUGGGUUGAUGUGUUAGGAAAAGGAAAUAAGGAGGGUAUGGUUAAGGAGUACAAAAUGCCAUUUGAAAGUAGGAAUAAGAUCUGUUUUGCGGGAGAACAAUAGGACAGCUAUAGUAAAUAAUUAUUGUAUAUUUGAAAGUAAUUACAAGAGUAGAAGUUGAUUGUUCCUAACACAGAGAAAUGAUGAAUGCUCGAGGGAAUGUAUAUCUCCAUUACCUUGUUUUGAUUGUUGCACAUGACACAUUUGUAUUGCAAUAUCAUGUGUCCCAUAUAUAUGUACAUAUAUACAACUAUCAUGUCCCAAUAAUAUUUAAGCAUAUGUGAUUUUUAUAAACAAGUGAACUAGUUAGGGGUAGAUAAAUCUAAAAUAAAAACAAGCAUAAAUCUAUAUAUAACAAGUCUACAGCUAAUAUAAUGAACAAUUGAAAUUCCUUCCUCUAAUAUCUGGAACAGGAUAGGAUGCCCACUUUCACCACUUUUAUUCCAUAUAACAUUCUAUCCAGAGCUAUUAGGCAAGUGAAAGAAAUAAUGGGCAUCCAAAUGAAGAGAAGUUAAAUAAUAUUGCUGCAGGAUUCUAAGGAGCAAUACAGAAAUUUUUAGCAUUUACAUUUGCCAACAGUGAAAAAUCUGAAAAAGAACUCAAGAAAGCAAUCUCAUUUGGAAUCUCUACAAAAAAAUCAAAUAGUCAAACUUUGAAGUCAUGAAACAUCCCUACAAGGUAUUGAGGGAACCGGCCCCCAAUAUUUCAAUGUAGGUUCUUUUCUAUUUUU
rnacentral:lncRNA from 1 species